rnacentral:rRNA from 1 species
CCUACGGGUGGCAGCAGUGAGGAAUAUUGGUCAAUGGGCGGAAGCCUGAACCAGCCAAGUAGCGUGCAGGAUGACGGCCCUACGGGUUGUAAACUGCUUUUAUACGGGAAUAACGCGCCUUACGUGUAGGGCUUUGCAUGUACCGUAUGAAUAAGGACCGGCUAAUUCCGUGCCAGCAGCCGCGGUAAUACGGAAGGUCCGGGCGUUAUCCGGAUUUAUUGGGUUUAAAGGGAGCGUAGGCGGCAGGACAAGCGUGCUGUGAAAUGUCCGGGCUGAACCCGGGCCUUGCAGGGGGAACUGGUGAGCUUGAGUGCGCGGAAGGCAGGUGGAAUUCGUCGUGUAGCGGUGAAAUGCGUAGAUAUGACGAAGAACCCCGAUGGCGAAGGCAGCUUGCUGCAGCGGAACUGACGCUGAGGCUCGAAAGCGUGGGUAGCGAACAGGAUUAGAUACCCCGGUAGUC